UACGUAGGGGGCAAGCGUUGUCCGGAAUCAUUGGGCGUAAAGCGCGCGUAGGCGGUUCAGUAAGUCUGCUGUGAAAGUCCAGGGCUCAACCCUGGGAUGGCGGUGGAUACUGCUGGGCUAGAGUACGGAAGAGGCGAGUGGAAUUCCCGGUGUAGCGGUGAAAUGCGUAGAUAUCUGGAGGAACACCGGUGGCGGAGGCGGCAUCCUGGGCCAACACUGGAGCUGAGUGAGCGAAAGCCAGGGGAGCAAACGGG
rnacentral:rRNA from 1 species